CCUACGGGAGGCAGCAGUGGGGAAUAUUGCGCAAUGGGGGAAACCCUGACGCAGCAACGCCGCGUGAGUGAGGAAGUAUCUCGGUAUGGAAAGCUCCUUUUGCGGGGGAGCAGGAAGACGGUACCCGACUAAGAAGCCCCGGCUAAGUACGUGCCAGCAGCCGCGGCAAUACGUAGGGGGCGAGCGUUAUCCGGAUUUACUGGGGGUAAAGGGAGCGUAGACGGCGGCGCAAGUCUGGAGUGAAAGCCCGGGGCUCAACCGCGGAACCGCUUUGGAAACUGCGAGGCUGGAGUGCUGGAGAGGGAAGCGGAAUUCCUGGUGUAGCGGUGAAAUGCGUAGAUAUCAGGAGGAACACCGGUGGCGAAGGCGGCUUACUGGACAGUGACUGACGUUGAGGCUCGAAAGCGUGGGGAGCGAACAGGAUUAGAUACCCUAGUAGUC
rnacentral:rRNA from 1 species